rnacentral:piRNA from 1 species
UGCUUUGGUGCCGGGUUUUCCCCCAGCUGU